GAUAAAUGAUGCACAUAAUUUCUCCUCUUUUGAGGAGGAAAAACAUAGCAUUUUGGCAGUGGCAGAUAAAGGAUAUGAAAGUCUUCCCUGGCAAGGGCAGAACAGAUGGUCCAGAUACCUGGGGAAGGAAAAUCAGCUUCUGAGAUGUAUAUGAUGAUAUGGGAUCAUGUAAUUAAAUAUAUAUAUUUUUUCUGUAAGAGUUCUGGAUUAACAAAAUUAGGGAAAAAGCACUACAAAGUUUUGAAAAAAUGCAAUUUCCAUAUGCAUGUAAACAAGUAUUAUCGAUCGCAGCUAUGGGAGCUCCCGGGGGGAAAGAUCAAUGGGUCCCGAACCGAGCUGAAGAAGAAGCUGUUCAAACGCCGGCGGGUGCUGAAUCGGGAGCGGCGUCUGAGGCACUGGUGGUCGGGGCUGUGAUAGACCAAGGGCUGAUCACGCGGCACCACCUCAAGAAGCGGGCGUCCAGUGCAUGUGCCAACAUUACUCUGUCAGGGAAGAAGCGCAGAAAACUCCUCCAGCAGAUCCAGCUUGCCCAGAAAGAGAAGGCAGCCAUGGAAGUGGAACCCCCUUCAAAGCCAGCCAGGACUAGUGAACCACAGCUCAAAAGGCAAAAGAAGACAAAAGCUCCCCAGAAUGUAGAAAUGAAGGACCUUGAAGAUGAGAGCUAAACCUCUUCCAGUAGAAGAUUCUCAACUGGAGCCAGCCUUCAGACUCAGUGGUUGUUUUAGAGGACUUUGACAAAAGCAGUGCCCCUUUUCACUCUCCAGAUUUCCUCCUACUUAAUGGCCUACUGACCUCCCCUAGAGGGAUGUCUUUGGGAGGGAAGACAGUACAGAAGAAAGAUCGGAGAAGGGCCUCUCUAGCAGUCAACUCCAUUUGUAAUAAAGCCCUAGCACUCUGAAAAAAAA